GCGAGACCUACAAGUCGAGCAGGGUCGAAAGACGGACUUAGUGAUCCGGUGGUUCCGCAUGGAAGGGCCAUCGCUCAACGGAUAAAAGCUACCCCGGGGAUAACAGGCUUAUCUCCCCCAAGAGUUCACAUCGACGGGGAGGUUUGGCACCUCGAUGUCGGCUCAUCGCAUCCUGGGGCUGUAGUCGGUCCCAAGGGUUGGGCUGUUCGCCCAUUAAAGCGGUACGCGAGCUGGGUUCAGAACGUCGUGAGACAGUUCGGUCCCUAUCCGUCGUGGGCGUAGGAAAUUUGAGAGGAGCUGUCCUUAGUACGAGAGGACCGGGAUGGACAUACCUCUGGUGUACCAGUUGUCGUGCCAACGGCAUAGCUGGGUAGCUAUGUGUGGACGGGAUAAGUGCUGAAAGCAUCUAAGCAUGAAGCCCCCCUCAAGAUGAGAUUUCCCAACUUCGGUUAUAAGAUCCCUCAAAGA
rnacentral:rRNA from 1 species